rnacentral:rRNA from 1 species
UACGAGGGGGGCUAGCGUUGCUCGGAAUCACUGGGCGUAAAGCGCACGUAGGCGGCUUCUUAAGUCAGGGGUGAAAUCCUGGAGCUCAACUCCAGAACUGCCUUUGAUACUGAGGAGCUCGAGUCCGGGAGAGGUGAGUGGAACUCCGAGUGUAGAGGUGAAAUUCGUAGAUAUUCGGAAGAACACCAGUGGCGAAGGCGGCUCACUGGCCCGGUACUGACGCUGAGGUGCGAAAGCGUGGGGAGCAAACAGG